rnacentral:rRNA from 1 species
AGCAGCCGCGGUAAUUCCAGCUCCAAUAGCGUAUAUUAAAGUUGUUGCAGUUAAAAAGCUCGUAGUUGAAUUUCGGGAUCAAUAUGUCGGUCGUGCCAUCGGUACGUACUGGUAUCAUUGGUCUCUCCUUUCUGACGAACCAUGAUGUCAUUAAUUUGGUGUUAUGGGGAGUUAGGACUGUUACUUUGAAAAAAUUAGAGUGUUUAAAGCAGGCUUUAGCUUGAAUACAUUAGCAUGGAAUAAUGAAAUAGGACGUUCGAACCUAUUUUGUUGGUUUCUAGGAUCAACGUAAUGAUUAAUAGGGAUAGUUGGGGGCAUUAGUAUUCAAUUGUCAGAGGUGAAAUUCUUGGAUUUAUUGAAGACUAACUACUGCGAAAGCAUUUGCCAAGGAUGUUUUCAUUAAUCAAGAACGAAAGUUAGGGGAUCGAAGACGAUCAGAUACCGUCGUAGUCUUAACCAUAAACUAUGCCGACUAGGGAUCGGAUGAUGUUAAUUUUUAAUGACUCAUUUCGGCGCCUUA